rnacentral:rRNA from 1 species
CAGUAGCCGCGGUAAUACGAAGGGGGCUAGCGUUGCUCGGAAUUACUGGGCGUAAAGGGAGCGUAGGCGGACAUUUAAGUCAGGGGUGAAAUCCCAGAGCUCAACUCUGGAACUGCCUUUGAUACUGGGUGUCUUGAGUGUGAUAGAGGUAUGUGGAACUCCGAGUGUAGAGGUGAAAUUCGUAGAUAUUCGGAAGAACACCAGUGGCGAAGGCGACAUACUGUAUCAUUACUGACGCUGAGGCUCGAAAGCGUGGGGAGCAAACAGGAUUAGAUACCCGGGUAGUCCCUGUCUCUUAUAA